rnacentral:rRNA from 1 species
GACGAACCGAGCGAACGUUGUUCGGAAUCACUGGGCUUAAAGGGCGCGUAGGCGGGCUGUCAAGUCUGGGGUGAAAUCCCGCGGCUCAACCGUGGAACUGCCUCAGAUACUGACGGCCCCGAGGGAGAUAGGGGCGAGCGGAACUAAUGGUGGAGCGGUGAAAUGCGUUGAUAUCAUUAGGAACUCCGGUGGCGAAGGCGGCUCGCUGGAUCUUUCUGACGCUGAGGCGCGAAAGCUAGGGGAGCAAACGGG